rnacentral:rRNA from 1 species
UACGUAGGCAGCAAGCGUUGUUCGGAGUUACUGGGCGUAAAGAGUGCGUAGGCGGUUUUUUAAGUUUGGUGUGAAAUCUCCCGCUUAACUGGGAGGGUGCGCCGAAAACUGGAAGGCUCGAGGAUGGGAGAGGCAUGCGGAAUUCCUGGUGUAGCGGUGAAAUGCGUAGAUAUCAGGAGGAACACUGCGGUGUAGACAGCAUGCUGGACCAUUUCUGACGCUGAGGCACGAAAGCGUGGGUAGCAAACAGGA